UGGGGUGUCGCCAAGAGGUAAGGCAGCGGAUUCUGAUUCCGCCAUUCCGGGGUUCAAAUCCCUGCACCCCAGUUA
rnacentral:tRNA from 1 species